UACAGAGGUCCCAAGCGUUGUUCGGAUUCACUGGGCGUAAAGGGUGCGUAGGUGGCUACUUUAAGUUUGAUGUGAAAGCUCCGGGCUCAACCCGGAAAUGGCAUUGAAGACUAUUGAGCUAGAGGUUUGGAGGGGGGACUGGAAUGCUUGGUGUAGCAGUGAAAUGCGUAGAUAUCAAGCGGAACACCGGUGGCGAAGGCGAGUCCCUGGACAACACCUGACACUGAGGCACGAAAGCGUGGGGAGCAAACAGG
rnacentral:rRNA from 1 species